GACGAACGCUGGCGGCGUGCUUAACACAUGCAAGUCGAACGGUAAGGCCUUUCGGAGUACACGAGUGGCGAACGGGUGAGUAACACGUGGGUGAUCUGCCCUGCACUUCGGGAUAAGCCCGGGAAACUGGGUCUAAUACCGGAUAGGACUGCGCGGUGCAUGCCGUGUGGUGGAAAGAUUUAUCGGUGCAGGAUGGGCCCGCGGCCUAUCAGCUUGUUGGUGGGGUAAUGGCCUACCAAGGCGACGACGGGUAGCCGGCCUGAGAGGGCGACCGGCCACACUGGGACUGAGACACGGCCCAGACUCCUACGGGAGGCAGCAGUGGGGAAUAUUGCACAAUGGGCGCAAGCCUGAUGCAGCGACGCCGCGUGAGGGAUGACGGCCUUCGGGUUGUAAACCUCUUUCAGCAGGGACGAAGCGUGAGUGACGGUACCUGCAGAAGAAGCACCGGCCAACUACGUG
rnacentral:rRNA from 1 species